rnacentral:tRNA from 1 species
AGGGUAAUAGCUCAGUGGUAGAGCCCAUGCUUAGCAUGCAUGAGGUCCUGGGUUCAAUCCCCAGUAUCUCCA